rnacentral:pre_miRNA from 1 species
CGCCGCUGCCACAUCAACAAGUGAGGAGGCUGGGGGCAUCGGAUUUGGUGACCCUGGCCUUUCCACCGGGGGAUCUGGCUAGGCAA